UAACAUCACCAACACAAAUAUUUUUCUCUUUGCAUAAGAGGGACAGAGAGUUACAUGGGGAGGGGAAAGGUCCCAGAUCAGCAAAUGAAGUUGCACCAAGAACUAACUAAAAACUAUAUCCAUUAGAACUCGAGUUUAUAGGAACAUCUCAAGAAAUGCUCAUCGUCAUUCCUGAAUUAAAGGUGGUACUCUAAUGGCCACAAAUAAAGCUUUGAGUGAUGUCUCAAAUAUUAAAAUAGGAAAAACUAUCACAGGAGGGCUUUUAACAACAAAAAGGGAACAAAAAGUUUAAGAUGUUCUGGAUAAGAACUUAUUAAUUUCCAUCCGUUUAGAGGUAUUCUUUCAGUUUUGAUGUUUACUCGAUGGAUUUGUCUUCUGCGAGGGUUUCCUAACCUUCUCAGCUUGCAACUCCUAUACCUUCUCCGAAGGCUACCAUUUCCUUUUCAAGCAUGUUGUGCUUGUGUCCUCUGCAGCAAAAUUAUCAAUGGUUCAGUGUACACAGUGAUUUCCCUACAUCUUCAGAGACCAAGUUGUGUUUUACAAUUGAUCUAUAAGAGCAACUUUACUAAUGGGAAAUCUGAGGCCUAACAACAAUAAGGAAUACAUAUUUACUAAUAAAAAGCUAAAUCUUUGUUAAAAAUCACGUUUGCUGCAUAUGUUUUCGAUUAAAACAGAUAUCUUCUGUUCUCCCACCAGUGGAGUAUGCGCUAUAUUUUGAGUUAAAUUUUUUAUUUGUGUAAUAUUUGAGGACAACGCCUUUCAUGCACUACAAACACACAUAACAAAACGUAUAGACUAUUUUGAGUUAAAUUUGUUAUAGGUGUAAUAUUUGAAGACAAAGUCUUUCACGCGCUACAAACACACAUAAUAAAACAUAUAGACUAUUUUGAGUUAUUUGUUAUAGGUGUAAUAUUUGAGGACAGUCUUUCACACGCUACAAACACACAUAAUAAAAUAAUAGACAAGUCGAAUAGGGAAGAUAAAACACAAAAUUGUGAUAUGUUGAAAACUAAAAGAUAAAUACACUCAAAAAACAAACAAAACAUAAGAUACCAAAGACAAGGGCAAUUUGCGGUAUCAUUGGACUACUUAAAAACAUAAAACUAUCCUCCUACAUCUAAAUCAAUGUUAAACUCUACUGUUAGAGAAUCUGAAGGAAUCUCUAUUUUCUCGAUUAAUAAAUAGAAUUUUCUAAAAAUGAAGUAUCUCCACAAUGAAAAACAAAAAUGCAUAAAAUGUGAAAAACAAAUAUUAUAGUUUUACCUAUCUAUAGUAAAUCUACAGUACAACGUAUCUGCACAAGCGAAACACAAAUUGACUUAUAAUAAAUUUUCCCAAGAAAAUAAGCAUUCGGAGCAGCUACUUACAAUCUUGAGUGUCAAAAAGCACAAGUCUCCUAACGGGGAAUCUGAAAUAAAAAUUGUGGACUUACUCUUAGAAAGAUGAGUCAGGCAUAUCAUCUCUUUGGGUGUAUCGUCCGUUUCAAUUACUAUUAUUACUAUUAUUAUUAAUCACAUUAGGAAACAGGAAAAACAGAGAGAUUGAAACUCAAGCUGGUAAAGCAAUCAUACCAGGCGUAUAUUGGCAGUAACCACAGAUCAGCCCAUCCUCCCUCUCUCCUUGUUCGUCUCCCAUUUCAGAAUUGUAUCUUUAGAUAGGUUAAUCUGCAGAAAAAAAAUAGCGUAAAUCAAGAGUCCCAAUCUUCUAACGGACAAUUACUGGCAUGUAUGUAAAAAGUUUAGAAAGUUAUUAUGCAAAACAGAAGAAAGCGGACAUUCACCAAACAAAAUUUGGUUUAGCAAUAGAAGAAGUGCAAAAACAAAGAAAAUUAUACAAAUAACUAACUAAAUUAGAGAGCUCGCAGCAGAUUCAAAUAAAGAUGGAUAAACUAUUCGCAGAGCCCAACAGGAGAAUUC
rnacentral:lncRNA from 1 species